rnacentral:lncRNA from 1 species
CUGAGAUGGAGGCAAAGGCUGCCCUCCUGCCUGGCGGAAGGAGACCCGGAGGUGCAGUGCGUGCUGCAGGGCUCUCUGCGGGAGCAGAGGAGGGGGAAUCGAGCGCAGCAUCUGCCUCUCCGUGACCGCUUCCUCGCCCCCGUCUCCUGCACGCAUGCCCCAAUAAAUCACUCGCGCAAGAAGCCCCAGAGUCUCGGGCUCUGUUUCCAGGGAGCCUGAUCUACAGUCGCUGUCACCCCCGUUAUCAUCAGAGAGGACGAACAGACCCAGAGUGGUUGUCUGAGUUACCCAAGACCCAAGUAAAUCUGCCCAGACUGUGAUGAAGAUGAUAAUGCAGCAAGAGCUGAGAUCAUGGAUAAGUCAGUGUGGACUGGAGUUGUCAAGAAAAUCUUCAUGCAGGAGGUUCUACUCUGGAAUAUUGGAGAAAUGCUCCCAGGGGAACCUCGAAUGUGAAGACUCUUUAUACUUUCAGGAGCUCUGGGCUCAGGCAGCAGCAGCCACAACCACCAGCACUGAGGUCUGCCCAGUAAAGCACCAAGACACAAAUGUCAUUUAUCCAAAAACAUUUGUUCCGCAUCUACUGUAUGCUAAGUACUCUCUCAGAAGCUAGAGUAAUGGAGUGGCUUAGGGUUCCCAAAUUCCUCCUUCCCUUGCAGAUCAUAAAUGUGAUUACCUCUUUUGGUCUCCC